AAAAAGGAAAAAAAAAAAAAAAAAAAAAAAAAAAAA
rnacentral:ribozyme from 13 species